GUGAGUCUAUGCUUUCCAUUCUUAAUACACUGAGAAUAAAUAUUGCCUGUGAGCGAGCUUACUUCAUUUUCACUGUUAUCUCCUUCAGAAAUGCUGUGUGCCUGUGUUCAACUUUUUAAAAUUAAUAUUCAUAAACCUCAUUCAUUCAAAUGCAUGAGGGGAGAAACAGAACAGAUAUGAUGUAUUUUUUGACCUCAAAGAGCAUACAAUCUGGGAGGAAGGAUAUCCUUAAUUUGAAGGAAACCACUAGAAAAACAUACAUGCUAAAGUGGAGCACGAGACAUUUAUAUCAAAGAGCGGUGAGGAGGUGGAAGAAGUGGGCAGUGCAUAGGGUGAAGUAAGUCAGGAAAAAACGUCUUGGAGGUGGAACAUUGCUCUCUGAAAAGAAAUGAACGUGACAGUAGACAAGGCUAUGGAAGCUUCAGAUCCUGGGAGGGGCUAGUCUUGGAGGUAGCAGAGCCCUGCUCACUGGAAGGGGUGUGCCUGGCUACACAGGCCCCUUUUGGCUCACAGCAGCGCAUCUGUGGAAACCCAGGUUACCACUGUCUGUGCCUCAUCAAAGUCUGCCUGCUGCUUGGCGACAUCACGCUCCAGACCUGUCUCUAGGAGCCGUGUGACUGAAGGUCAAGGGUGUCUCCAGGGAGCUCUCACCUGCCUGGUUCGCCCCUGCCCUGCCCUCUGAUUGGUUAUCCACACACCCACAAAGUUGUUUCACUCUCUGCUCUAAAACAGUACAGGAUUUCUGGUGGCAAGGGAUGCAGCCUUCAUUACCACCCCCCAACCCGCACCCCAACACAAAGCAGAGGAUACAAAACAAAUGGAGGCUUCAUAUGUUCUGGCAGCAAGUCCUCGCCCAGAAAUCUGGAGAUGCAAAUAAAGGCCCCCUCGAACAAAACUCGCUAAACGUGCUGAGUGGCCACGAGCCCAUCCAAGAUAAAACUAAACUAGAAAACAUCUAAAGGCAUGGAAGAGGAGAAGGAAGCCAGGCUCUCAGCCCUGGCUGUGGAGGAGCUCCGCUCCGAAGGGCGAGGUCUGUCCACCAGGGAACAGGGGAGCCUGGUCUCUGGAGCGUGGAAACCACACCUGCCACCUUCCCCCGCGCACCAUGGUGGAUGCUACAGACAACAAAAGACUAGCUUUAUUAUUAUCUCCUGGGAAAACCCCGAUUACUUCGCUCUAUGACAUCCCCACUGAGAACUGCCACCAGCUCUACAGGUGAUCAGUUCUCACAUUAGGACUCAAAUGGAAGAAGGCUUUCCCCAAAAGUUGUCAAAAUUUAAUAUUCAAACUCGUAUAGCUAUCUGCAUCCGAUUCAUCUCACAAAGAAUCUUCUCCACAACCCAGGGUCUCUACAAGAAGCCAACAACUUGCAUGUGCUUAGAAAUCUCUGAGCAACCAGGGGUUCGUGUGUGCAUCCCUGGACACCGGGACUGCCUUCGUGAUGCUGUAAAUGGGCCCCGUCGUCCCAACUGCUAAGAUUUUGAUUUCCUCAUCCUUCAAAUGCAAAAGACCUGAAUUAGAUAUCCCAGCUGUAGCAUUCUCUGACUGGGGGAAUUUUAAAGAACAGGAUGUGCGCGCAUCCCUUAUGGAAUUUCUUAUUCGACAGAAUUCAUCCUAGAAACCCUGUUCCUGCACUGGAGGCUGCCUCUACAAAGCAAGAGAGGAAUGUACCAUCUCACAACAGUCUUACAGUCUUACAAGAAAAAGAAAAGGAAAGCCAGAUGCACUGACUCAUGCCUGUAAUCCCAGCACUUUGAGAGGCUGAACGGGAGCAUGACCUGAGGUCAGGAGUUCAAGACCAACCUGGCCAACAUGAUGAAACCCCGUCUCUACUAAAAGUACGAAAAUUAGCUGGGUGUACAAAAUUACAAAAUUUAGUACAAAAAUUCACCUGCAGGAGAAUCACUUGAACCUGGGAGGCAGAGGUUGCAGUGAGCCGAGACUGCACCAUUGCACUCCAGCCUGUGUAAAAAGAGUAAAAUUCCACCUCAAAAAAAAAAAAAAAGGAAAAAAGGAACAGAAAAAAAAAAAGGAAGACAAAGCUAAGGAAGACCACGAUAAAGAAAAUAAAGGAGAAGAGAUGACUAUGAUGACCGUUCGCACAACUGUCAGAUGCAGGUCAUGGUGGUUAAAUGCAACAAAGCCCAGAGAUGUCUUGCCUGCCUUUCCUACCUUUACUAAUCAUCAAAUAUAUCCACAACCAGUUGCUCUUCAUCAGGAUUUGCUGGGUGCUAAGACUGAAUGCUUAUGUCCCCCUCACAAUUAAGGGAUUGAGUGUUCUUACAAAAGAGACUCCAGAGAGAUCCUGUGUCCCUUUCACCAGCAUGCUCCUCCACCUGUCUGCAUGUCGGUUGCUGCGUCCAUAUAAAGUGCUGCAGGGAUAUUUCGAGAAGCUAAUAAGACAAGUCAAUGUGCAAAUACCUUGCAAGUAUCUAAAAUGAAAAAUGUGAGCUCUUCUUCCCCAAGCAAAGAAAAGACCCAAAUAAAAAAUAACACAUAUGUAGAGGUUAUCUAUGAUAUUUUAGAUUUUAUGAGCUCUCUAUAAAUGAACAUUUGUUUCCUUUGUUCCUGAAAUGAAACCAUUACCUGUUUUUCUUGUUUGCCUUUUCCAGCCUAUCUGCCAAAAGUUAUUUUAUUUUACAAAAUGUCUUCCUAAAUUAUCCAAUCCUUUUCCUUCUGAACAUUUAAAACCAUUCAAAAAACCCAAAGUACAUUUUGAUCUAAGCAAUUAAGUUUCUUUACAUCAGUAAUCCCAAUGUCAUGUUGCGAACGUCAUUCUAGAAAAUGUCCCACAGCAAGUUUUUAAUGGCCUGUAAGCAGAGGCUUUAAAAUAAGGACAUUUUUAAAUGCUGGGUCAGGAAUAACUUCAGUGAGGCUCCAGCCCCCUGCCGCGACCUUUCUGCUGACAUGUCUCUGUUGACGCCAAUAUGGAAAUCCACUUGUUUCCAGGCUUUCUCUCUUCAUACCUCAUUAGGAUUCUGCACUGUUACAAAGUAAAACCACUGCCAGGACCAUGAAAUAUGAGGCAAUGGAAUACUCUAAAAUCCCACACCAUUCUUCAUUUACUGUCUUUCCAUCAAGUCACCAAACCAAAACUAUCAAAUUGAUUGUACAAGGCAAGAGAUAUGACAGAGUUAGAUGCCCAGAACAUUUUUUGCAAUCCUUCUUUUCUGGCGGGGUGGAGAUCUGAAAAUGUAUCCCUUCUAGGUUUCUGUAAGUAAUCAGAAGAACUGCAAAUUAUACUUUUGUUUUUGCCAAACUUUUAAGCUUGACAUGAUUGAAACUUCUAGAUUCCUCUAGUUUUCUCCUCUAAAAGCAACACUUCCAGCUAGGUUUAGCUGCUUCGCUGGAGAGCAUGCUGCAAUGUACCCAGCUUACCAUGAUGUCCCAGACAUGCUUUAAUAUACAGCUAGCAUAAGCAUGCCUAUUUUACUAAGGAUUUUCAUUUAAUUUUGUCCUUCUAUAAAACUAUCUAACCUUGGACAGUAUUACAGAUGACUCCUGGUCAUGUGAGUAGGCCAGGGAUUAGGGAUUUGGAUAUGAGGUGCUCCUUAGGAUUUCCCUGCCAAAGCAUUCCCUGCUGGUGUGUUCCAAUCACAAAAGAUAGCAGUGCUGUUGGAAAAGGCGGUGGCAUUUUUGCCAUCCAGGAUCCAGAUGCUUUCUUCGCUCCUGGGAUGGUAGCAAAAAAAACCUCAAAUCUUCAAAGUGAAUACCAGCAUUGAUCUUUAAGUUCAGUGAUGGAAUUACUCUCAGAGGCUUCCAUAACUAAAUUGAAAUCUCCCCAAUUCAAAAUUUCAAAAUAGAGUUUUCUUCUUACCUUCUGUUUUUGUCUGAAUGCAGUUCCGUCUCUCUCUCUGCACCAUAACAAAUCUCGGAAUUGGCUUCCCCAAUUUCCACCAAUCACCCAGCACUGGAAAGUCUAGUCUGUGCCCCCACCGGACCACAGUGACCACCACCGUGUGGCUAAGCCAACCUCUGCUCCACGUGGGGGCCCCUCUGGCCACGCCAGGACCUUUCAUCUCAACCACCCACCAAAGCAAGUGUCAACAUCUCCUUACAGAUUUGCAUCAGAAAUGUUAAGAAAUGUUACUACAGGCAGCAGAAGAGCCACUCCUUACCUCCUGUUAAAACAUUAUAAAAAGGAAAUGUGUGAGGAAGAAGAGCAUAGGUUUGUGUACUAAAUCUCAGAAGAGCAGCUUUUCAAAACUCUGUCAGGCCUGGGAGACAAAGGAAAUAUAUCUUGACCUCACAGAGAGCAUUCAGGUGGAAAAAAGUAAUUUUUUUAACUUGAAAUUUACAUUUAACUAAAAUGAAUUUGUCUCACAAUGAAGAAAGACUAAAUAAAUCAUGGUAUAGCCUAAGUGGAAAAUGGUUCCACUGUUAGAAAUCCGCAUUGAUAAAAGCCAUUCACUAACGUCGGUGAGGCAGGAGAACAGUGGCUGGAGGGAGAGAACAUAAGGCCGAUUCACGCUGAUUUCCUAGAACUAAAUCAAAUGGAAACACUUCAGUGAUGACAGGUAAUACCCUCUCCAUUUACAUAGGGCAUACACAGAGUAAAUGACUUUGUAACUUAACUUCAUGCUCUUCAUUACACAGGGCAUACACCAAUAUAAACCAAUGGAAGUAACCAAUGGAAACCUCUAGAGGGUAUUUAAACCCCAGAAAAUUCUGUAACUGGGCUCUUGAGCCCGUGUGCUAGGACCACUCCCACCCUGUGGAGUGUACUUUCAUUUUCAAUAAAUCUCUGA
rnacentral:lncRNA from 1 species